rnacentral:rRNA from 1 species
AGAGUUUGAUCCUGGCUCAGGACGAACGCUGGCGGCGUGCUUAACACAUGCAAGUGGAGCGACGAACGGACUUCGGUCCGGGCAAAGCCGCGAACGGGUGAGUAACACGUGGGUUACCUGCCCUGAUGACCGGGACAACCCGAGGAAACUCGGGCUAAUACCGGAUGUGCCCGCAAGGGGAAAGGAAGCUUCGGCCUCCGCAUCAGGAUGGGCCCGCGGCGCAUUAGCUUGUUGGUGGGGUAACGGCCUACCAAGGCGACGAUGCGUAGCUGGUCUGAGAGGACGAUCAGCCACACUGGGACUGAGACACGGCCCAGACUCCUACGGGAGGCAGCAGUGGGGAAUCUUGCACAAUGCGCGAAAGCGUGAUGCAGCAACGCCGCGUGUGGGAAGACGGCCUUCGGGUUGUAAACCACUUUCAGUUGGGACGAAGGUUCGAUCGUUAAUAGCGGUUUGGACUGACGGUACCUUCACAAGAAGCCCCGGCUAACUACGUGCCAGCAGCCGCGGUAAUACGUAGGGGGCAAGCGUUGUCCGGAAUCAUUGGGCGUAAAGCGCGUGUAGGUGGCUCAGUAAGUCCGCUCUGAAAGUCCAAGGCUCAACCUUGGGAUGCGGGUGGAUACUGCUGGGCUCGAGUCCGGAAGAGGCGGGUGGAAUUCCUGGUGUAGCGGUGAAAUGCGCAGAUAUCAGGAGGAACACCAAUGGCGAAGGCAGCCCGCUGGGACGUGACUGACGCUGAGACGCGAAAGCGUGGGGAGCAAACAGGAUUAGAUACCCUAGUAGUCC